UCAUAGAUUAGCCCAACAGUGUCUUUCUCAAGAUGUCUCAAACAUUGCUAGACAGUUUAAAUCAGAAGGAGUUGACGGAAACGUCAUGUACAAUCGAAAUCCAGGCAGCGUUCAUUCUUUCCUCCUUGGCGACUUUCUUCGGGGGACUCAUCAUCUUAUUCCUUUUCAGAAUAGCCUUGAAAAGCUCAAGAAGUUGGAAAUACGUCAAGGGGCCAAGAGGACUCUUGGAACUAUUCUCAUCACGUAGAAUCGAGGCUAAUCCUUUGAGGAAACUUUACUUUCAUGGAGUAUUUCGUCAGCGCAUCGAAAUGCUGCUUUCUGCACAGACCGUCGUGGGGCAAGUGUUGGUGAUCCUUGUCUUUGUACUAAGCAUCGGGUCUCUUGUGAUCUAUUUCAUCAAUUCAAUGGAUCCUGUUCGAAGGUGUUCUUCAUAUGAAGACAAAAUUGUCCAUGUGGAUUUGAGUUUCAACGCUUUCUUUAGCUUCUAUUUUGGGUUGAGGUUUUGGGCAGCUGAAGACAAGAUCAAGUUCUGGUUGGAGAUGAAUUCAAUUGUAGACAUUUUUACCAUCCCGCCAACCUUUAUUUCUUAUUAUUUGAAGAGUAAUUGGCUAGGUUUGAGAUUUCUAAGAGCUCUGCGGUUGCUCGAACUCCCUAAAAUCUUACAGAUCCUACAAGUCAUCAAGACCAGCAAUUCAGUGAAGCUUUCCAAACUGUUGUCAAUAGUUAUCAGUACCUGGUUCACGGCAGCAGGAUUCCUUCACCUGACCUUUCCUUUGCCAUCUCUCGUUGGACAGGUGGAAAAUUCUGGUGACCCCUGGCUCAACGGAAGAAACUCACAGACUAUGUCAUACUUUGAGUCUAUUUAUCUGGUGACAGCAACAAUGUCAACUGUUGGCUUUGGGGACGUGGUGGCCAAGACAUCCCUAGGACGGAUUUUCAUUGUUUUCUUCACCCUUGGGAGUUUGAUACUAUUUGCAAACUACAUUCCAGAAAUGGUGGAGCUCUUUUCUACCAGGAAGAAAUACACCAAGCCCUACGAAGCAGUCAAAGGAAAAAAGUUCAUCGUGGUCUGUGGAAACAUCACAGUUGACAGUGUUACUGCUUUCCUGAGGAAUUUUCUCCACUGGAAGUCCGGGGAAAUCAAUAUUGAGAUCGUAUUCCUUGGAGAGACUCUCCCUUGCUUGGAACUGGAGACCUUACUGAAGUGCCACACAUCCUGUACCAACUUCGUAUGCGGCACCGCACUGAAGUUCGAGGAUCUGAAGCGAGUUGCAGUGGAGAACUCGGAGGCGUGCCUGAUUCUAGCCAACCAUUUCUGUAGUGACUUACAUGACGAAGACAACUCAAACAUUAUGAGGGUGCUCUCGAUCAAGAACUAUUAUCCACAGACCAGAGUCAUCAUUCAGAUACUUCAGUCUCAAAACAAGGUUUUCCUGUCAAAAAUCCCCAACUGGGACUGGAGUGCUGGAGACAAUAUCCUCUGCUUUGCAGAGCUAAAGCUCGGAUUUAUCGCCCAAGGCUGCUUGGUGCCAGGGCUGUGCACCUUUCUCACGACUCUGUUCAUUGAACAAAACCAAAAGGUUUUUCCUAAACAUCCCUGGCAAAAACAUUUCUUGAAUGGCUUGAAGAACAAGAUUCUGACACAGCGCCUCUCUAACGACUUCGUGGGGAUGACAUUUCCCCAGGUCUCCCGGCUCUGCUUUGUGAAGCUAAAUCUCAUGCUGAUCGCCAUCCAACACAAGCCCUUCUUUCACAGUUGUUGCACUCUGAUACUAAACCCAUCAUCCCAAGUGAGGCUGAAUAAGGACACCUUAGGGUUCUUCAUUGCGGACUCCUCCAAAGCCGUCAAAAGGGCUUUCUUUUACUGUUCCAACUGUCACAGCGAUGUGUGCAAUCCUGAGCUAAUUGGAAAGUGUAACUGUAAAAUCAAGAGCCGACAACAACUCAUAGCACCGACCAUCAUGGUGAUGAAAAGCAGCUUGACCGAUUUCACCACUUCUUCACACAUCCACGCUUCUAUGUCAACAGAAAUUCACACUUGUUUUUCAAGAGAACAGCCUAGUUUGAUCACCAUUACAACCAACAGACCAACGACAAACGACACAGUGGAUGAUACCGACAUGCUGGACAGCAGUGGCAUGUUUCACUGGUGCAGAGCAAUGCCCUUGGACAAGGUGGUUCUGGAAUGGAAUGCCCAGAUGUUUAAAAACUGGACUUUGAACUUGGUUCUUCUUGUACAAAGAAACGAAGUGAGAAGGCAAAACACGAGUUUCAGAACCACAUUGUAGUAUGCGUGUUUGGAGAUGCCCAAUGUACCCUGGUGGGGCUUCGGAAUUUCGUGAUGCCCCUGAGAGCCAGCAACUACACCCGGCAGGAGCUGAAGGACAUUGUUUUUAUUGGGUCUCUGGAGUACUUCCAGAGAGAAUGGCGAUUUCUCCGAAACUUUCCCAAGAUACACAUUAUGCCUGGAUCUGCACUCUACAUGGGAGAUCUGAUUGCAGUCAAUGUAGAGCAGUGCUCUAUGUGCGUCAUCUUAGCCACACCCUACAAGGCACUGAGCAGCCAGAUUCUGGUGGACACAGAGGCCAUCAUGGCCACCCUCAACAUCCAGUCCCUGCGGAUCACCAGUCCUACUCCAGGGUCUUCAAAGUCAGAAGUAAAGCCAUCAUCUGCCUUUGAUAGUAAAGAAAGGAAGCAAAGAUACAAACAGAUCCCCAUUCUCACUGAACUGAAGAAUCCCUCCAACAUCCACUUUAUUGAGCAGAUGGGCGGACUGGAUGGAAUGCUCAAAGGGACUAGCUUGCAUCUCAGCACUUCUUUCUCCACCGGUGCUGUCUUUUCAGACACCUUCUUGGAUUCUCUCCUGGCCACGUCCUUCUACAAUUACCAUGUCGUGGAAUUACUUCAGAUGCUAGUGACUGGAGGCAUAAGCUCUGAGAUGGAACACUAUUUGGUUAAGGAGAAGCCCUAUAAGACAACUGACGACUAUGAGGCAAUCAAGUCUGGGAGGACGCGGUGUAAGCUGGGACUCCUCUCUUUAGACCAAACCGUUCUAUCAGGCAUUAAUCCAAGAAAAACCUUUGGACAGCUGUUCUGUGGCUCAUUGGAUAAUUUCGGGAUCCUAUGUGUCGGCUUAUACCGUAUGAUUGAUGAAGAGGAACCCAGCCAAGAACACAAAAGGGGAGUAUGAUGGUUUGAAAGGUGCGAGCCACCUUUUAAGUGUGAGAACAAAGACCACGCCAUCUCACUGAAAGCCACACCCAGAGCUCCAGAUCAGCCAUUGUAUAGCAGGGAGCAAAGCGUUAGGAUGAUAACAUUGCUCUAAGGAAGGCGGGGUCUAAACAGCAGGAACCAUGUGAUCAGAACACUGACCUUGAAAGGAGAAUGGAGAGUCUGUCCCCACUGAAAACUAACUGUUUGUGAUCACCAGGCCAUCCAAUGAGUGCCACCUGCUGCCCUCAGAUCUCGUGUUUUGUGCCAUCCCUUUCAACACCACCUGUGGCAAAUCAGACAGCAGUCCUUCAAUUCAGGCUCAAAACAACUCUACAAACGCGACGACGCCAUUGGCCCAGGGGUCGAAUUUCUUCGAUUCGCACCAUGCCGACGAGUCCCACGAUCUUUACCCAGUCGACGACACGGGAGAGAGGUGGUCUCAGCACCACCACUCCCGAGUCUAUCCUUUGGACACGUUAGAUGCCAGUGAUAUUGUUCAAGAAAAAUAAAAACAGAAACAUGCUAUUUUUGUGCCAGUUGCUUAGUGGUCAGCGAGUUGGCAAGCCCACGGUGCUGUGGAAGGGACCAUCUUAUCCCAGUGAAUCUGGUGUAAUGAAUAAAGAUGCCCAUGAUAAAUGGUA